ACGCCGCGUGAGCGAUGAAGGCCUUCGGGUCGUAAAGCUCUGUCCUAAGGGAAGAAUAAUGACGGUACCUUAGGAGGAAGCCCCGGCUAACUACGUGCCAGCAGCCGCGGUAAUACGUAGGGGGCGAGCGUUAUCCGGAAUCACUGGGCGUAAAGGGUGCGUAGGCGGUCAAUAAAGUCUGGGGUGAAAGGCUACGGCUUAACCGUAGUAAGCCUUGGAAACUUAUUGGCUUGAGUGCAGGAGAGGAGAGUGGAAUUCCUAGUGUAGCGGUGAAAUGCGUAGAUAUUAGGAGGAACACCAGUGGCGAAGGCGACUCUCUGGACUGUAACUGACGCUGAGGCACGAAAGCGUGGGGAGCGAACAGGAUUAGAUACCCUGGUAGUCCACGCCGUAAACGAUGAGUGCUAGGUGUCGGGGGUCGAACCUCGGUGCCGCAGCUAACGCAUUAAGCACUCC
rnacentral:rRNA from 1 species